rnacentral:rRNA from 1 species
GACAGAGGGUGCAAACGUUGUUCGGAAUUACUGGGCGUAAAGCGUGUGUAGGCGGUCUGCUAAGUCGGGUGUGAAAGCCCUGGGCUCAACCCAGGAAGUGCACUCGAAACUGGCAGGCUAGAGUACUGGAGAGGUUGGUGGAAUUCUCGGUGUAGAGGUGAAAUUCGUAGAUAUCGAGAGGAACACCGGUGGCGAAGGCGGCCAACUGGACAGAUACUGACG